rnacentral:rRNA from 1 species
GAUUAGAUACCCUGGUAGUCCACGCCGUAAACGAUGUCGACUUGGAGGUUGUGCCCUUGAGGCGUGGCUUCCGGAGCUAACGCGUUAAGUCGACCGCCUGGGGAGUACGGCCGCAAGGUUAAAGCUCAAAUGAAUUGACGGGGGCCCGCACAAGCGGUGGAGCAUGUGGUUUAAUUCGAUGCAACGCGAAGAACCUUACCUGGCCUUGACAUCCAGAGAACUUAGCAGAGAUGCUUUGGUGCCUUCGGGAACUCUGAGACAGGUGCUGCAUGGCUGUCGUCAGCUCGUGUUGUGAAAUGUUGGGUUAAGUCCCGCAACGAGCGCAACCCUUAUCCUUUGUUGCCAGCGGUUCGGCCGGGAACUCAAAGGAGACUGCCGGUGAUAAACCGGAGGAAGGUGGGGAUGACGUCAAGUCAUCAUGGCCCUUACGGCCAGGGCUACACACGUGCUACAAUGGCGCAUACAAAGAGAGGCGACCUCGCGAGAGCAAGCGGACCUCAUAAAGUGCGUCGUAGUCCGGAUUGGAGUCUGCAACUCGACUCCAUGAAGUCGGAAUCGCUAGUAAUCGUAGAUCAGAAUGCUACGGUGAAUACGUUCCCGGGCCUUGUACACACCGCCCGUCACACCAUGGGAGUGGGUUGCAAAAGAAGUAGGUAGCUUAACCUUCGGGAGGGCGCUUACCACUUUGUGAUUCAUGACUGGGGUGAAGUCGUAACAAGG